rnacentral:rRNA from 1 species
GACGAACGCUGGCGGCGUGCUUAACACAUGCAAGUCGAACGGUAAGGCCCUUCGGGGUACACGAGUGGCGAACGGGUGAGUAACACGUGGGUGAUCUGCCCUGCAUUUCGGGAUAAGCCUGGGAAACUGGGUCUAAUACCGGAUAGGACCACUGCCUGCAUGGGUGGUGGUGGAAAGCUUUUGCGGUGUGGGAUGGGCCCGCGGCCUAUCAGCUUGUUGGUGGGGUGAUGGCCUACCAAGGCGACGACGGGUAGCCGGCCUGAGAGGGUGACCGGCCACACUGGGACUGAGAUACGGCCCAGACUCCUACGGGAGGCAGCAGUGGGGAAUAUUGCACAAUGGGCGCAAGCCUGAUGCAGCGACGCUGCGUGAGGGAUGACGGCCUUCGGGUUGUAAACCUCUUUCAGCAUCGACGAAGCGCAAGUGACGGUAGGUGCAGAAGAAGGACCGGCCAACUACGUGCCAGCCGCCGCAGUAA